AUCUGAGGCUGAGAGAGCAGAGAGACACUGCUUAGGAAAGCGGAAGAUGCAAAGUGUGCUUUUCUGGGUGACGGACGCUCAGCCUGACAAGGACUCACAGUUCGUCACUCACUGGCUGCCCCUGUCACACGGCCCUCGCUCCACAACGGGAACCCGGGAGGAGGAAGCUUCCAGCAUUGCCUUCCAGUUUCUCAAAUAAGAAUCAGAGGAUUUCCUCAGGACCAGGGUUGUACAAGGUGAUGUCACUAACACGUCAGUCUGUGGAGACCUUGAAAGGAGGGUGAUGAAGUUCCGUGAGUGCGAAAUACAAGAAGAGAAAGCAAAAUAGUCAGUCACAAUGUUUGUGUUGAUUCCAUGUUGACAAAGCUCUUUCAGAUCUGUUGCCUUAAAUAAAGCAUCAUUGAAGCCAA